rnacentral:piRNA from 1 species
CAUCAUCCCGAAGCAUGUUAGUAGAAGC